rnacentral:misc_RNA from 1 species
UUAACUAUUAUAUAGUACUCAGACGACACUAACUUCAGGGUUUGGUCUCUGGGGGGCGAGCCCCCCAAAGCAACAAUGUAUACAAGACACGGGUGGGAGAUCUACCCUUGCGGGCAUGAACUCUGUAAUGAUCCCUCCGCAGGUUCACCUACGGAGA